CACAAUUCUCUCUAUAGACCAUAGUAUAGUCCACACUAAGUUAAAGUAUUCACAUUCGGAUAUAAAAAGCAAGAAUAGUAAACCCUAAUAUCUUCUUCUUCCUCUUCCUACUCUUCUUGCCCCAUUCCUUGUGGACCUCCUUCAAUUGUUUCAUUAACUUUGGGUUUGGUUGCUAAAACAGAUUAAAGGUAGAGUUUUGUUAGAAGAAACUAAAGAGUCAAAAACAGUGGAUCCAAGGAAUGGAGAGAGGGGACUUUUCAUCCAAUGAAAUGGAAGAGAAAGAGAAUAAUGAUAAUAUUGAUCAUCCUCAACUUCAAGAGGAGCCCUAUAAUAUAUACUCAGCUCGAUCUCAGCAUGACAUGUCUGCUAUGGUUUCUGUCCUUUCUCAAGUUAUCGGGAACAGUACCACCCAUUCUUCUUCUGCUAAUGUUACUCCAUUAACCCUACCUCAGUCUGCUGUAGCUCUCCAAAAUCAAUCUCAAUCUAUUGAGGAUCAAGGUAUUACUCACAAACCACAACUAAUUAUAUGAUUAACAUCAAAUUAAUUCUUUUCCAAGUAUAAAGUAAGCAAUGUUUUCUUUCUUUGGGCCCCUUUUUCUUUGUUAAGUGUCUCAAGUCAGUUUAGGGAGUGAGUUGUCGUCGUCUCCUUAUAUCGUCUUAAACAAUGAUAACCUAUUGAGUUAGUUCCAGAAUUGAGUUAGAUCCAAGAUCCACGUUCUUUUUUUAAAUAAAAAAAAACCUAUUUUUGUAAGUUAUUUAUCAUCUUCAUUGGAUGACAAGUGCUUUCCUAAAAGAUGACCAUAUUUAAUUAGAUAUAUUAUCUGACUCAUUUCUUUUUUUUUUUCGCAAGCUUAUACAUAUUUUUAUUAGAUUAUAUAACCUAAUUAUGCAUCUCAUUAAUAUCUUGUUCAUGACCACUACUAUGGGUGGCCAGGCGUCCUUAGUUAAUUGACAUUCUAGUUUCUAAUUCCCUAAAUGGAAAUAAACUGAUUGUUUCCUCCUUCAUUCUUCCCACAAAAUUUCUUCGAAGCAAAACAAAAGGGAAAAGAAAACAAAGACUUCGGGGGAAAAAAAGAGGAAAAAGAAAAGUAAGGAACAUUAGGUAGCAGUUAGCUUCAACUAGUUCAAUUUCUUCCUAGAAUUACACCGACAUCGGUUGUCAAGAUCACAACAAAUCUAAUCAAGUUUUCUUAAUAGGAGUAGGAUUUAACUCAUAUACAUUGAAAUUUAAAAAAAAAUUAACACUAUCAAUGUACCUUAACCUCCCUAUUGCAGAUAAUCUACAAAAGUAAUAUAUUAUUUUUCAAGUUACUAAUCCCAUUUUUAUGAAUGGUUACGUAUAUAGUCCGACCUCUCUAUAACAAUCAUGCUUUAUAACAACACUUUACUAUAACGGUCAAGUUUUCCUUGGAACCACUUUUUCAUAUUAUGUAUAUAUAACAACAUUUCAUAAUAGUAGUCAAAAUUUUUUGGAUAGGAGAAUAUUGUUAUAGAGAGGUUUGACUGUAGUUAUAUUUUAGGUGAUCGAUCUAAUAACAGUGUAUGUAUAUGUGAAGGGAAUUCGAGAAGAAAACGGUAUAGAGGAGUGAGGCAAAGACCAUGGGGAAAAUGGGCAGCCGAAAUCCGAGACCCAAAGAAAGCAGCAAGAGUAUGGCUUGGCACUUUUGAAACUGCUGAGGCUGCAGCUGUUGCCUAUGAUGAAGCAGCUCUCAGAUUCAAAGGCAAUAAAGCCAAACUCAACUUCCCUGAAAAAGUUCAAGGCAAAUUCCAAUACCUUCCUACUAAUACUAGUCAAGAUCAUCACUUGCCUAAUGAUAUUGUUGCCCAACAAUAUAUUCCAACUACCUCCAAUAAUAAUCAUCCUCUCCCUUUUCAAGAACAUUAUCCUAGUUUACAUCACUAUGCUCAGCUGCUUCAGAAUGACAGCAACAUUACUGAUUUAAACUUUGGUAUCUCGCCAAGUUAUAAUCAGCAGUUAUCUGGUUCUUUUGAUUUUUCGCAAUCAUCAUCUAACAGUACAUUAUCAGAAUUGCCACCUUUGACAUUACAAUCAAGUUACAAGCAAGAAGAAGAAGUGUUUAUGAGCUUUUCAUCGGAUUUUGGUACUUCUUCAAGCUCAUGUGCACCUCAUGAAAGUAACUGGGAAGAUUUUGAAGAUAGAAAGUCAUAAGUUUAUGAAGAAUGGAAGAAGUUUUUAUGAGAUUUUCGUCGCAUUUUAUUUCGUACUCUAUGGUUGAACUGGGGUUUCCUAUCCUCUUGUGUUUCAGUUAAGUGUAAUACUUGAGCGUUACCUGCUUGGAAGUUGGAACUAUAUAUAUUUACGAAGUAAUGACCAAAUAUUGGCGUGGUUUUAUGUGUUUAAGGCUAAGUGUCAAGCUAACACAACGACAACAUACCCAGUGUAAUCUCACAAUUGAAGUUUGCGGAGGGUAAUGUGUAUGUAGCCUUACCCUACCCUGUAUAGGUAGAGAAGUUGUUUUCGAUAGACCCUCGGCUCAAAGCAAGCGUGCAAAGGUGAACUCAAUUCAUAUGGGACUUCUAAAUCGUCUAAAAGAAUUACAAAUUUAUGAAAUAUGUAUAUUUGAUGCAUCAACAUUUAUCUUUUGUGUGACUGCUAUUGUGCCUAAAGAACGACUAAAGAAAUCACUGUUCACUAUAUUGGAUUAAAAAAAACGAACCCCCUUCUCAUUUUGGACAAGACAGUCAUUUGCAAAGAUGAACUCAAUUCAUAUGGGACUUCCAAAUAAUUUUAUAUCGUCUCAAAAAAACUUACAAAUUUGUCGUGUUACUCCUAGUCCAUGUUUAUCAAUGUGAGUAUUUGUAAAGCAUAUGACAUUCAAUGAAAACGGUACAUGCAUCAUGAUGCCAAGUUAAAUAAGUGGAAGCUAUAUAUAGCGAAUAGAGGAGUAGAAUUUUGAUUAUGUGUAGCUGAAGUUGGCUAGCUAGUAAUUGAAUUACUCCUUUGCAUGGCAAGGAAAUUAAAGUAAGAAUGAGGUGGCACGUAAUUAUUGGGCAACUAGGUUUUGCUUUUAGUUCAGUUGGAUUAUAGGCAAUUAGAUUUGUGGAACGCCGUCCUUUCCUUUAAUUGUUACGUACUCAAGUAUAUUUAUUAAAGUAGUAGAUGAUACUGCUAAGUAAGUAAAGGAUAUCUAGUUUUCAAUCAGCUUCCUACUGUUAAUAGAUCACAGUGAACAUAGAAAACAUUUAGCGAUUUCCCUUUAUCUCAACUGUUGUGAUUUUGCAUGCUUGCUUUGAGUCAAUGGUCAAUCGUAAACAACCUCUCGACCUGCACAAAGUAAGGUAAGGUUGUGCACUCAUUACCCUCCCCAAACUCUAUUUACGAUAUUACACUUAGUUUGUUGUUAUUGUAACACCAAUAUUAGAAGAUGAAACAAAUUAGGCCUCAAGAUAUGUAUAUCAUGAACUGGAUACGUGAUUGUAAUAAAUAAUAAAAAAAGACAAAUACAAAUAAUGAGUUAUGAUUUGAAUGAUUAAUUACUAAUUGAGCAACUUCUUUUUAGAGGCCAACAAAUUAUUUAAUUUUAUUGACUACUUAGCACCCAACGCUAACUUAAACAAACAACACUCCCCUCCCUCUAAAUUUUUUCUUAUUCUUUUAUUAAUUUCCAUCAUUUAAGCCUAUAAUUAGGAAAAAGAAUAGACUUAGAUAUUACCUUUUUUAGUUUAUGCUUUAAAAUAAAUAAGUAAGAAUAUGAAUCCACUUGUCAAGAAAUAAACUAGAGUCAUAUAAAUAAUGUUGUUAUAUGACUCACGUAGUAAAAUUUCUCGGCACAAAUGGGUUGGCCUCUCAAUCGUCGAGCGAAAGCUGAUCAAGUCAUGAAUAUUUUAGAACUUUCCUUUUAAAAUUUAUAUAUAUGUCUCCCAUCCGGCCUCUAUUAAAUCUAUUAAAGUUCAUUAAAGCCAACUUCUUUGGACGUAGUUUUGACAAUUUUGAGUCAAGGCCAAGAGUGUAUUUUCUAGAGAAUGGGGAUUUUCAUAACAUCAUUUUGGUCUUUAGAUGGUAACAACUAACAUCUAAAGAAUGGAUUAUGUAUAGGAGCUUAACUUCUAUAUAAAGACAAUUUAUUUAUUUUUAAACACAAUUAGGCUACCUAAAAUAUAAUAACAUAAUAGUUGUUCAGAUGAAGUGAGAUUAAUUACUGAAAAAUAAAAGUACAAUCUACUAUAAAACGUUAAAUAACACUGCAAAUUUUUUUAGACAUAGAUGCGUAUAAGUCAAAUCCUAUGUAUAGGUAGUAAAGACGUCCGCGCACCAAUUAAUGAUUGCGGCGCUUUAGGCAUAGAGGAACCAGGGCACAAUGGACCAAUAUUAACUACUCCCUCCCUCUUUCUCACCUAUUUGAUUGGACACGAAGUUAAAAAAAAAAAAUUAUGGCUCUAAACAAGUCAAAAAGAAGUCCAAAGUAUUUGUAUAGUUAUAAAAACUUUUCAUUAAGGGCAGAAUUAAAAAUUUAAGCUAAAUUAUUUCUAAAUUAGAAAGAAGUCAUUCUUUUUGGAACAGACCAAAGAGAAAAUAUGUUCACAUAAACUGAAACGGAGGGAGUAUUUGUAUACAGUACAUCCUACAUGCACUUCUUUCCUAGACUCUAUAUAGAAUGCGCACCCGGCUACUCUUUUUUAUAUACAUCACAUAGUUAAAAGAACAUUAAACAUUCUAAACAUAAAUCGGCGAAUUAACUUUGAGAAAGGAAAAAAAAAGUAGAAAAAAUAGAUAUGAGAAAGAAAAGGCAUGCAUAUAUAUAUAUAUAUAUACACUUCCCUUUCCUUUGUUGUGAAGCUAGUUCGAUAACUCACCUUUUGGCGUUAAUUCCAAAGCUUGAAAAAAUGAUCAUCUGAGCUUUCCCUUUUAGCAUAUAAACGUGCAUGUCUGAUCAUUCUCAAAAGCUUUAUUGAAAUCAAGUUGCAGAUGACUAUAUUUUAGUAAAAAAAAAGGGUAGUUUCAGAAUACAGUGAAAGUAAAAAAGUACUGAACUUCGGCAUGCA
rnacentral:lncRNA from 1 species